UCGCUUGAAGAUGAAGAAUUGAUCGAGUAUAUCAUCACUGGAUUGGGCGAAGAUUUUAAUCCCCUUGUCACAUCUCUCUGCACUCGUGUGGAGCCGAUCUCUCUUGGUGAGUUUUAUUCACAGCUUCUCAGCUUCGAGA